rnacentral:rRNA from 1 species
CACUGACAUUAGAUACCCCUGUAGUCCCAGCCCUAAACGAUGCGCGUUAGGUGUAUCGGUGACCACGAGUCACCGAGGUGCCGAAGGGAAACCGUGAAACGUGCCGCCGUGGGAAGUACGGUCGCAAGGCUGAAAACUUAAAGGAAUUGGCGGGGGAGCACCACAACGGGUGGAGCCUGCGGUUUAAUUGGACUCAACGCCGGGAAGCUCACCGGAUAAGACAGCGGAAUGAUUGCCGGGCUGAAGACCCUGCAUGACCAGCUG